rnacentral:tRNA from 1 species
GGGCCCAUAGCUCAGUUGGAAGAGCCCCCGGCUCAUAACCGGAUGGUCCCAGGUUCAACCCCUGGUGGGCCCACCA